GGCGGCGGUGCCCGCCCCCCAGGCGGUGGGCGGUGAGACAGGGAAAUAUCUGGGAAACGUGGGAAAGUGGCAGUCGGGUGUUGGGUAAAAGUGGUCACCCCGGGUAUUUUCGCUGGCGCGAUAAUAUUCCGCGGCCUCGGAGCGGUUCCGGGGAGGGUCCCGUGCUGAUUUUUUUGCUGCGUAAUCUGUCCGGCGGAGGUUUCGCUUCCUCGGCUGCCCAGAGAGAUGUGUGACUGCCCGCACCCCGAGCACUGAGCCAGAGCUGUGGGACCCUCGCCUCCCCACGGCGGCCUCAAGGGAGAUGUUUUCCGGAGAGAAAUGUUUUCCUGCCCCGUGUCAUUUUUCUCAGUUUCACCUUGUUAAAAACCUCACGAAAUCGUAGCAGUUUUUACAUCCCUGCUCCCGCUCCGUUGUUACUGAUUUAAACCAAAGUUCCCGGCUGAUUUUUCACUUGGUUUCCACCAUAAAUCAUCUUGUUUUGGAAUCAAACAACUGCCAAUGAUGACAAGAAGAGGGGAAAAAGGCAGAUUGCCUCUCUGGACAGCAAUUAGUUGCUAAAAUGUCUUCCCUGCAUUGGUGAUUGAAGAGCACAGCACUACAGAGUCUAGGCAAAAUACUCAUCUGAUUAUGCUAGAGGUAAGUCAGCUUUUUACUAUGGACAUUAGUUCAUGAGGAAAAUAUUAUAAAUCCCAUGCAUGGCAAGACUCAAACUUUCCCCUGCCCCCAUGAAACAGUUAUAAAUGUCUGUAAUGUUACAGAACUAAAAAAAUAAAAGUAGCAUCAUUCUACUAAAAAUCACUGUAUAGACCACUGAUGCUACUGAAAUAUUGCAGUGAAUGCAAUUCUUUCUUUCUGCCAGCAUCUUCCACAUGCAAAGGGGCAAUACAAUUUAUUACCUAAGCACCAGAAAAAU